rnacentral:lncRNA from 1 species
AAGGCUAUAUGAAAGAAAUCUGAUACCAAAAGAUCUUUCGCAUACGAGGUGAAAGUGGAAGAUCUUAUGUGUAAGACUUUAUUGAGAAGCAAUGGUCCUAAUCAAAAGAGAUACCAUGGACUUGCUUAACCCCACGAGUUUAGAUUCUUUCAAAAAAAAUCAAAAUAAAAAAAAUCAAAAUAAAAAUGAGAGAAAAAGAAAGAAGAAAAGAAGAAAAAAAAUCUAGAUGGAAAAAAAAAUCAAAAUGACAAAAAAGGAAAUGAGUGGCCAAGGCGAAAACCCACAAAGGGCGCUUUGUGACCUAAGGUGGUUUUGAGUUGAAAACCCAAAAAGAGAGACUCAAAUUUUGAGCAAAAUGGGGCAUGGUCGUCA